rnacentral:sRNA from 1 species
UCCAUCUAAGGCUAAAUAUGACCGCGAG